UGGAACUCAAGCACUGAAGAAGUGAAAGGUCCCUAAGAGGAAAUACUUCAACACCACAGGCUGAGAUGCUAUUGCUAGUGUUUCCACAAAGUAAUCUGUAAGCAUUUGCUUGGGUGAUUUCAAACUGCAGAAAGGAGAGUGACCAAGUAUGUUGAAGAGUGUUGGACACAGGAUCUGAGCAGACAUGAUGCACAGAAUGUCACCAAAAUGUCAUCAUGGACCUUUCCUUGGGACACAGCAACGAGGCCACGGAAUUAUGAGUUAUGGCUGCCAUGGGGCACUUUGGACUUCUGUGCUCACGGACAAGCAGGCAAAUAGAGGAGCAAGCAUUUUGGUCUCACUCACUGAUCCUGGUCCGCAGGAAGAGUAGGACUGCCCUUACACGAUGGCGGUGAUGAUGGGAUCCACCUUCAGGAAGAGGAGCCCAUGUAAAAUGACAGGGAAGCUGCUCCCCAAGCCUGUGUAGAAAAGGAGAUCUGCACAGAAGGAGGCACCUCGCUGACCUUCAGGGCAUAUACGUGAAGGAAGGCCCAAGCUGCUGUACUUACCAGCCAUCACUACAUCCGGCCAUGCCUUCUCUGGGCUGACCCUCGCUGAGCAAGGGAGGGAGACGAAGAGCUCUCUGGUGGCAGUCUCUGGACUCAAGGAUUCCCCAGCAGCUUCAUCAACCCUGCCAAAGACUUCAGGGCACUCUAGGGAGCUCCCACCAAGCCUCUCUCUCUCUCUCCUUACUUGAGGUUAGGUCUACACUGACAUCUGAUGACGCUCCAUUCUUCCCUGGC